rnacentral:sRNA from 1 species
AGCAGCCGCGGUAAUUCCAGCUCCAAUAGCGUAUAUUAAAGUUGUUGCAGUUAAAAAGCUCGUAGUUGAAUUUCGGGAUCAAUUGAUUGGUCAUGCCUUGGUAUGUACUGGUCAUAUUGGUUCUCACCUUCUAAUGAACCAUAAUGUCAUUUACUUGAUGUUAUGGGGAAUUAGGACUGUUACCUUGAAAAAAUUAGAGUGUUUAAAGCAGGCUUACGCUUGAAUACAUUAGCAUGGAAUAAUGAAAUAGGACAUCGCAUUCUAUUUUGUUGGUUUCUAGGAUCGAUGUAAUGAUUAAUAGGGAUAGUUGGGGGCAUUAGUAUUCAAUUGUCAGAGGUGAAAUUCUUGGAUUUAUUGAAGACUAACUACUGCGAAAGCAUUUGCCAAGGAUGUUUUCAUUAAUCAAGAACGAAAGUUAGGGGAUCGAAGACGAUCAGAUACCGUCGUAGUCUUAACCAUAAACUAUGCCGACUAGGGAUCGGAUGAUGUUAAUUUUUAAAUGACU